AUUGAACGCUGGCGGCAGGCCUAACACAUGCAAGUCGAGCGAGCGGCGGACGGGGGAGUAAUGUCUGGGAAACUGCGCGAUGGAGGGGGAUAUAAAUUGUAAACGGUAGCUAUUACCGCAUACCAUCAGAUGUGCCCAGAUGGGAGUAGCUGGUAGGUGGGGGAACGGCGCACCUAGGCGACGAUCCCUAGCUGGUCUGAGAGGAUGACCAGCCACACUGGAACGGAGACACGGUCCAGACUCCUACGGGAGGCAGCAGUGGGGAAUAUUGCACAAUGGGCGCAAGCCUGAUGCAGCCAUGCCGCGUGUGUGAAGAAGGCCUUCGGGUUGUAAAGCACUUUCAGCGGGGAGGCGUUACCCGCAGAAGAAGCACCGGCUAACUCCGUGCCAGCCGCCGCGGUAAUAC
rnacentral:rRNA from 1 species